rnacentral:tRNA from 2 species
GGCCCUAUAGCUCAGGGGAUAGAGCAGAGGUUUCCUAAACCUUGUGUCGCAGGUUCGAUUCCUGCUAGGGCCGCCC